rnacentral:rRNA from 1 species
UGGGGAAUUUUGGACAAUGGGGGAAACCCUGAUCCAGCCAUCCCGCGUGUGCGAUGAAGGCCUUCGGGUUGUAAAGCACUUUUGGCAGGAAAGAAACGUCAUGGGUUAAUACCCCGGGAAACUGACGGUACCUGCAGAAUAAGCACCGGCUAACUACGUGCCAGCAGCCGCGGUAAUACGUAGGGUGCAAGCGUUAAUCGGAAUUACUGGGCGUAAAGCGUGCGCAGGCGGUUCGGAAAGAAAGAUGUGAAAUCCCAGAGCUCAACUUUGGAACUGCAUUUUUAACUACCGGGCUAGAGUGUGUCAGAGGGAGGUGGAAUUCCGCGUGUGGCAGUGAAAUGCGUAGAUAUGCGGAGGAACACCGAUGGCGAAGGCAGCCUCCUGGGAUAACACUGACGCUCAUGCACGAAAGCGUGGGGAGCAAACAGG